UUGACCUCGAUCAGUAGAUGCCAGC
rnacentral:rRNA from 1 species